rnacentral:rRNA from 1 species
AGUGAACGCUGGCGGUAGGCCUAACACAUGCAAGUCGAACGGCAGCACGGUAAGAGCUUGCUCUUACGGGUGGCGAGUGGCGGACGGGUGAGGAAUACAUCGGAAUCUACUUUUUCGUGGGGGAUAACGUAGGGAAACUUACGCUAAUACCGCAUACGACCUACGGGUGAAAGCAGGGGAUCUUCGGACCUUGCGCGAUUGAAUGAGCCGAUGUCGGAUUAGCUAGUUGGCGGGGUAAAGGCCCACCAAGGCGACGAUCCGUAGCUGGUCUGAGAGGAUGAUCAGCCACACUGGAACUGAGACACGGUCCAGACUCCUACGGGAGGCAGCAGUGGGGAAUAUUGGACAAUGGGCGCAAGCCUGAUCCAGCCAUACCGCGUGGGUGAAGAAGGCCUUCGGGUUUUAAAGCCCUUUUGUUGGGAAAGAAAAGCAGCAGGUUAAUACCCCGCUGUUCUGACGGUACCCAAAGAAUAAGCACCGGCUAACUUCGUG